CCUUCUCCCAUUGAGGAGAAGCUUUCGGAGGCCCUCACCAGGUGCAAAUGCUGAUACCAUGCUUGAUACUGAUACAAUGCUUCUUGUACAACCUGCAGAACUCUGCUCUGUAGGAAAUUGCCUUCAUGUGAUGAUUGCCUUUAAGUACAGUUUCAAGAAAGCUAUUCCAGACCAGAAAUACCAGAAAGCCUCAUGGACCAGAUUAAAAUGCUUGGAUUACAUGGUUUAUUAAAUCAACUUAAAAACACACAGCAAGAAACAAGUGGAAAGAGUUAAGAUGGAGUGGUCACGGAAGGCCUCUCUGGGGACAUAGAAAGUCACCUGUCACCUGAAUGGCAAGAAUCCCGCUGCUAGGAUUUUAAGAAGAUACGAGCCGGACGCGGUGGCUCAAGCCUGUAAUCCCAGCACUUUGGGAGGCCGAGACGGACGGAUCACAAGGUCAGGAGAUCGAGACCAUCCU